UAAUGAAAGAUGCGUCUGUACCCAAACUCAGACAGCAUACUCAGCAGUGGAAUAUCAGGCACACAGUAAAGAGUCAUGCAAAUCUAGUCGUUAUAUAUUCUUAAAUGGAUUACUGCAGAAGGUCUGUGGUAAGUUGCUCCCCUGUGAGUGGUUGCAUUACACUUAAAUGGAACAGAAAGACGUCUCACACACUGCAAGGCUCCAAAAAUAUGUGCAUGACAGCAUGAACAGCAUGACAUUUUGAGCAGAGUCACAUGGGUGCAAUAAAUAAUUAUAUUUUUGGAGCCCUGCAGUGUACGAGACAUCUUUCUGUUCCAUGUUAGUCUCUUUUUUGGCUCAGCACCUGCCUACUAGGUUUGGAUGAGACGAUGAGGAUAUCCGUGUCCUGAAAUGGGAAGUUUAGAGCUUGCUGCAAGGAAUCCUGUGUGUGCAGGUGUCCAGGAAAAGAAAUACCAUGAAAUGUCUCGACAACAUCCAACCUAGCCAUGUCCAGCUCUAGUAAUGCCAAUCAGAGCAACAAAACAUGUGAUGUAGCAGCAACCAAGGCGCACAGCUACCGAGG